UAGAAAUUUUGUGAAAGAAGUAUUUGGGAAAAUAAAGAUGGACAAGAUAGGAAAGACUGCAAGAAAUAAUGUUAUCACCCAAUUAGGAAACCCGUGGAUGGAGAAGAAUUAGGGAAUGAUUUGAAGAGAGGCAGCUAUACAUCAGAAUGGGGGAGGUUGUUUCUGCAAGUCUACUCCUGUACAAUCAAAGGCGACCUGGAGAGCUCCAGGCUAUUGGAUUGACAGACUACAAAGAGUGACAAGAGGGGGAAGAUGUCCAGCGUUUGAUUGGAGAUUGUCAGCAAAGAAACUGUUAGAGAACCAGGUGGUUAUCACAGUGUGAGGAAAGACCAGAAGAAGAGUACCUGUUAUAAUUCCAGCAGACGCAGGGAAACCGACCGACUACCUCACAAAUGAAGGGGUUAGAAGAGAUGC